GAUGAACGCUGGCGGCGUGCCUAAUACAUGCAAGUCGAGCGAACAGACGAGGAGCUUGCUCCUCUGACGUUAGCGGCGGACGGGUGAGUAACACGUGGAUAACCUACCUAUAAGACUGGGAUAACUUCGGGAAACCGGAUCUAAUACCGGAUAAUAUAUUGAACCGCAUGGUUCAUUAGUGAAAGACGGUUUUGCUGUCACUUAUAGAUGGAUCCGCGCCGCAUUAGCUAGUUGGUAAGGUAACGGCUUACCAAGGCAACGAUGCGUAGCCGACCUGAGAGGGUGAUCGGCCACACUGGAACUGAGACACGGUCCAGACUCCUACGGGAGGCAGCAGUAGGGAAUCUUCCGCAAUGGGCGAAAGCCUGACGGAGCAACGCCGCGUGAGUGAUGAAGGUCUUCGGAUCGUAAAACUCUGUUAUUAGGGAAGAACAAAUGUGUAAGUAACUAUGCACGUCUUGACGGUACCUAAUCAGAAAGCCACGGCUAACUACGUG
rnacentral:rRNA from 1 species